CUUGCAGGGUCAAAAAGAGCUUAUUUUUCAAAUGAUCAAGUGAGUGGGCCUUUUGUCAUGGAGGUGUCCUGAAGCUCAGAUCAGCACUGCCUGGGUUCAUGAUGUAUCUCUCUUGCUGACAGUACACAAAUUCAUGGUCUGGUCAGGAUCAAUUUCUCCAGAUGAUGUCACAACUACACAAGUUUUGCAUCUUCUAUUGUCUGGAUCUACGUGAAUAUAAAGUCAGCAGGGAAAUAAUAAGAACCGCAUCAUAUCCUGGAGUAAAGGAAGACUUUGCAAGUCACACAUAGACUUCUAGCUGAAUCUUUAUAAAGUUGGUGGCUGAAGGUCAGAUUUGUUUAUUCAGAAGGUACAUUUCUCUGUAAAAACCUUGCUCUUAACCUCUGUACUAUCUAUCAAUCACAUGAUCAAGCUGCUAGUUUGUCAGGACCGUGUCUAUCUUUCACAUGAUACUCAAAUCUAGAGUUCCAUUUUUUGAGUCAAAGUUGAGUUCAAAUCUCUUCUUUUCUACUUGCUGUAUCAUUGUGGACAAAUUACUUAAGUUUUAUAGGAUUAGAUUUGCUUGUCUGUAAAAUGGAGAUAAUAGUAGUACCAACUCCCUAUGUUGUUAUCAGGAUUAAAUGAGAUAAUGCAUGCAUAAUGCUUAGCACAGUACUUGGGGGCAGGAUGCCUCUAAUAAAUGAUAGCUGUUGCUUUUAUAACUUGUAGUAAUAGGCCUGUCUGUCUAAGUGAUCAAAAGGUUUUUAAGUAAUUGUUUUAAGCUACUUUUAACCACAUUUUUCAUGUAACACCUUAUUUUUCAUGUAAUCCUUGAUAAAGCCUCUUGGAUUUUUCCUGCAAAUAUGUCUUUUUGCAAUAUUUGUUUAUUCAGUGGGAUUAGUCAAUCAAUAUGGCCAUUAUUUCUGAUUUUUCUUUCUCUGAGGCUUAGCAUAGUGUUUUUUUUUUUUUUUCAGGCUUCGGUCCUGCUGAUUUGUGAUAAUAUGCAUGACUUUCUUAACUUCAUCUUUGUCUAUUUUUUUUUGACAAAGUUUUUCGUAGCAACAGCUGGAAUAAUACCACACAGCUCAAACAGAAAGUCUCAGGCUUCAUUAUUUCCCCACAAUCACCAUGUGACAAUUCGAAUCUCUGUAAGGCAGAGCUUUGGGGGAAGAUUAGAAACUGAAAUGAAAGGCAAAUUUCUAGCUGGAAUUUAGAUCAAAGAAGAUAUUAUCCUGGUAGGCUUGCUGUGUACAAGAGAGAGCCAUGGGGCUUCUCACUGACCAGCUUGACCACAAUAAUUCUUAAAGACUCUUCAAUGAUACUUUGCAGUUUAUACUGGUAUAUGUUAUUAAAGGAUUGUACAUCAAGGAGGAAUACUAUGCUAAUGUAAAAAUCGGGUUCUGGUGGCAUUCAUGCUGUAGAGUAAAAUCAAUCCACAUAAAUAUAUUGAACCUAUAUUCAAGGAUCCAUUCUGGCUGUUCCAACAAAGAUUUAUUGAGCCCCUACAGUAAGUGUGAAAUGGAGAUUCAUCAAACUUUCUUUGUGUCUUAAAAGCAAGGGGAGAUUUACACUUUGUGUGAGAUAUGGACAAUAUAUUGAGUGAGG
rnacentral:lncRNA from 1 species